UGCAGCUUUGGUCACAACAUUCAAUCUCGAAAUUGGAAUUACUGGUGCCAUCUUGACGAAGCUAGAUGGAGAUUCUAGGGGUGGAGCAGCUUUAAGUGUCAAGGAGGUAUCAGGAAAGCCAAUCAAGCUCGUAGGAAGGGGUGAACGUAUGGAGGACCUUGAACCUUUCUAUCCUGACCGCAUGGCUGGACGUAUUUUAGGAAUGGGAGAUGUUCUAUCGUUUGUUGAGAAAGCCCAAGAAGUUAUGCGUCAAGAAGAUGCUGAAGAUUUGCAGAAGAAGAUCAUGAGUGCAAAAUUUGAUUUCAAUGACUUCCUGAAGCAAACUCGGGCAGUUGCUAGGAUGGGUACCAUGUCGCGUGUUAUUGGUAUGAUGCCUGGCAUGGGAAAGGUUACUCCUGCACAAAUUCGAGAGGCAGAGAAGAGCUUAAAGAUAAUGGAGUCAAUGAUAGAUGUCAUGACACCAGAGGAGAGGGAGCAACCAGAAUUGUUAGCAGAAUCUCCUGCUAGAAGGAAACGUAUCGCUCAAGAAUCUGGGAAAACUGAGCAACAGGUGAGUCAA
rnacentral:misc_RNA from 1 species